rnacentral:rRNA from 1 species
GACGAACGCUGGCGGCGUGCUUAACACAUGCCAGUCGAACGGAAAGGCCCUGCUUUUGUGGGGUGCUCGAGUGGCGAACGGGUGAGUAACACGUGAGUAACCUGCCCUUGACUUUGGGAUAACUUCAGGAAACUGGGGCUAAUACAGGAUAGGAGCUCCUGCUGCAUGGUGGGGGUUGGAAAGUUUCGGCGGUUGGGGAUGGACUCGCGGCUUAUCAGCUUGUUGGUGGGGUAGUGGCUUACCAAGGCUUUGACGGGUAGCCGGCCUGAGAGGGUGACCGGCCACAUUGGGACUGAGAUACGGCCCAGACUCCUACGGGAGGCAGCAGUGGGGAAUAUUGCACAAUGGGCGGAAGCCUGAUGCAGCAACGCCGCGUGCGGGAUGACGGCCUUCGGGUUGUAAACCGCUUUCGCCUGUGACGAAGCGUGAGUGACGGUAAUGGGUAAAGAAGCACCGGCUAACUACGUG